CUGAGGCUGCUGAAUGGCAGCAGGGUGUGAAGAGGUCCACGCAUGCAGCGAGGAGGAGCAGGACGAGGCGGCAGAUGCUGAGGAGGCCAUGCUGUGGCCCAUCCAGGAGGCCCUGGAGAGACAGACCCUGCAGAUCGGGGCCUCAGCCUGCGGGGCCACGGCCGUGGUGGAUGUGCUGAGGGCCCUGGGCGUGGAUGUGACCCCCGAGAGAGCCGACCAAUGUGUGCGAACGCGACUGAGGAGGAACGAUUCACCGCUGCCCGACUACCUGCUGUCCCGGAGCCAAGCAGGGGCGACUCACACCCAACUCAUCCAAGGAGCAGAAGAUGCCAGUCAAGGUCAGGUGACGGGCCGCUUCUUCCACUUCCACCCUCGCCGCCGGGCGAAGCUCGUCCCCUGGCUUUCUAAGUGGAUCCGAAAAGGUGCUGUUCCCGUGGCAACCAUGAACAUGCAAGUUGCCGUACCAGAGGGCGAGGAGGUGCCCGAUGCCUGGCACCAUCAGCUCAUAUUUGGUGUAACGUCCAAUGCUGUUUUUAUGACCAACCCGUUAGAUUUAGUAAGUGAAGAGGAGGUGCAUCAGAGACUCUGCAGUGAAUCUGUGCUGCUGAUUCAGCGACAAGACGUCUUGCAGAGAUUGACAUCUGACUGCUGUCUGUCCAGUCUGUCUGAGAGCCACACUGACCCACGGUGGAAAGCCUUAGAUGUUGAGGGUCAGGUGAGACAAAUGGCCCUCGAAGAGGAGCAGGAGCAAGAUCGAGCCACGUUAACGCACAUCACAAUCCCUGCAGCAUACAGCUCAGGCAUCACACUCUUCACCCUGCGACACACAGACUUAGGUCAAGAGCUCCUCAAUGCUCCUCAACUCCCUCUGGCGUGACUGGACAAGCACACAAGGACUCGACUUAUUUAUUUUAAUUCAAAUAAAAAAAUGUAAUGAGACCUAAAGACUAAGUGU
rnacentral:lncRNA from 1 species